rnacentral:piRNA from 1 species
UAGGGCUGGCUGGAGGGGAGCUCAGGGCGC